UACGUAGGCAGCGAGCGUUGUUCGGAAUUAUUGGGCGUAAAGAGUGUGUAGGCGGUGCUCUAAGUCUGUCGUGAAAUCUCCCGGCUUAACUGGGAGGGUGCGGCGGAAACUAGAAUGCUAGAGGGGGGGAGAGGUAAGCGGAAUUCCUGGUGUAGCGGUGAAAUGCGUAGAUAUCAGGAGGAACACCUGUGGUGUAGACAGCUUACUGGACCACUUCUGACGCUGAGACACGAAAGCGUGGGUAGCAAACAGG
rnacentral:rRNA from 1 species